rnacentral:lncRNA from 1 species
GACACCCGGGGCAGACCGACAAGUACCGAAAACGACACGAGGCGCUUUCUGGCUUUACUUUGACAUUUUAUUGUUCAGUUUUCUUUGCUUGUCGUCUUCGCCUGGUUCCUCGUCGCGCCUCUCUGCAGUCCUGACGGAGCACGUGGCACAGCCCUUCCCUCUUGGCGUCCGAUGCAUCUUCUGCUUCCCCGGUGCCGGUCCUUCCCUUCUCCUCAGAGUUAGGGAAAGAAGAGGGGAGGGGUCUCGGGGCAGGAAGGGAAGGGGGGCAGGGAGCAGCAGCGGGGGCUCUCGGGCGGAUGGUGGCUCCUCAACGCCCAGAUGAAAAGCGAGAGCCCCUGGAGCGCCGUUCCUGGAUGCGGCGACGUCGACGGGCGAUCAUGAUGUUAUAAUGGAUGCCCAGCCGUGAUGGAGAUGGAUCCACCUCCAUGGGUUCUUCCUCAGGAGGCAGGUCCACCUCCGUCAGCUCCACGUCGGCGUUGCUCUCCUUGGAGUCAAUCUCCAUGGGCUCCGGCUUGCUGCUGCUCUCCUGCAGGCGACGCCUCUUCGCUGGAGGAGGAUCCAUUGUCCUCCUCCACAGCUCUCGCCAACACGGGAAGGGAAUUCAAACGUUGCUCCUGUCAGAGGGCACUCUGGCUCUGAAGGCGCAGGUCGAAGACAGUUCUGGGCUCUGGGUCCCCGUAUUUAUAGGGGUCCAGGAGGGCGGUGGCUCAUGAGAUCACAAAGCUGUGGCACAGUGACCCCACAAAUGUCCCAUGACAACCAAACAUAUCCGUUGGGUGGGGGGCGGCCGUGGCCCCAGCGUUGCCCUGGUGCCGCUCGUUGGAUUCCACAGGCCUCUGUGACUUUUCAUCCAUGGCUCCAAUAACGAUUUGAACGUUCUAUUAAAUAACAGUGUGCUCAUGUGAUGCUAAACUGGGAGGAGGGUUCUGGUUGGUGGCACAUUGAAUCUGAGCAGGCCCUCAGUCCCACCACUCUUCAGUCCCACCACACCUGGGUCCCCCAGCUCCAUGCUGUGGAUGUGUGUACACCCACAGUGUGUGUCAGGCCUACAGCUGGACUGCACUGCCCCCCACUUCUCAGGUUGCAGAGGUCUCUCCUCAAACCCAACAGUGAAUGUCUCCUUGGUGUGUUGGCAGUUCUAAGGCUUAUUUCAAACACAUCUUUAAGGUCUGUUUUAAUACCCUCAUACAUUGAUUAGCCAUAAGAUCAUAGAAUCAUAGAAUCACAAGGUUGGGAAGGACCUACAAGAUCAUCUAGUCCAACUGUCUUCCCUUUACCAUACCAACAGAAAUCCACUAAACCAU